GCUCUGCUUUUCUCUUUCACUAAGAGAGAGAAAGAGACCAAAGAAUGGUCUGCCGGGAGGGCGUCUGUGCAAAUCCCCAGGGAGCCAGGGGCUUGAGCCCUCUUCAUUUUCUUACAGACACACAUUCACUUCCAUGCCUCCUUAGUGAGGGCAUGAUGCACAGUGUGUGUGUAUGUGCAGGUGUGUGCAUGCAUAUGUGUGUGUGCAUAUGUGUGUGUACAUAUGUGUGUGUUGUGGGGGUGUGCAGUGGACAGGAAGGAGAGGGCAGCUCCAGCUCAAAGCUGCAAGUCUGUCUGAAAGAAAGAUUCCCUGGACCACAGCAAGAGAGACUUUUCAUUUGCAUCCAUUUUUUAUCAGCAUUUAAAGCUAUAUUUUGAGUAGCAUGCAAACCUUAAGUUACUUAACUAUUCUUAGAAGCAUUUACACAGUAAGAUAAUACAUGAUAAUGUACAUUGAAAUAUUCACCCUGCACCCCCAACAUUAUUUUGCAUACCUACAUCCCCCAAAGAAUCCCAUGGCAGGGAAGUGUGGUCCACCUGGGACCCCUCAGUGGGGGCACUUGGUCAGUCCCCAAGGCUCUGUGUGGCCCUCCAGAGACUCUGCUUCCCACCGGCUCAGUCAGCACUACAGAGGGGGAAUGGGGGAGGUGGAGUAGGGGCAGGCAGGACAGUAGGGGGAGGACAGUCAGGCACCCCAUGUCCUGGUUUUUGCAGUGGCUGGGAGGCGGCUGAGGGUGGAAGGCCGACUGCCCUGAGAACUGGUUGAGGCUUAAGGCGGGGGUGGUAGGGCCAUCCCCACUGCCUGCAGGGCCUUUGGUCACCCUUGUCACCCAAGGCUUCUCCCCAGCAGCACUGGGCACCCCAGUGAGAGAGUGGCCAAGGCAGAGGUGUGGAUGGAUCAGGGAGGGAGGUCUCAUUCGGCUCUGACAGGAAAAGGGUCAAAGAAGGGCCAGGGUGGCCAGAGGGAGGGUCACAGUCUCUGGGUCGGGCAGGAGGAGGGAAGAAGGGAACAGGCAGGGUCAGCAGCCAGGGCGCAGGCAGAGGCAGGUGCACGCUGGGAGGUCAGACCCUGCAAGGCCCAUGGGGAGUGUCAGCUGGGAUGGGCUCCAGGUGCGUCCUCAGGGCACUGGGCAGCUCUCAGGCCAGGCUCCCCGGACUCUGGUGGGUGAUGUGGUCACUCUCGAGGCACUGCUGUCAGUCAGGGCUCGGCCACCUCCCCGGGCAGCACCCAUCCCAUCUCAGGACUGGACUUUCUCAGCUCCCACAGAGGGUGCCGCCUCUUGCCCAGGAGGGGCAGCCCCAUUGUGCAGCCUGAGGCACCCCGCAAGUCCCAAGUGGCUCCCUCCAAGCCAGCCUAGAGCUCCCUCUUCUCCAGGGUCCUGGUGCCUCGCAGGUGUCAGCUCCACAGGGAGGCCCUUGCUUUCCUUGUCUGUGCCUUGUCCCGGGCUGAGACUUAGGGUGGAUAGGGUUGGGCUGGUCCUUCCCUGGGGCCCUCUCAGGGAGGGGGAUGGCUCCUGGCCCGGGCAAGUCCUCAGCUCUGCCUGGGUUGCCUCUCAGUGAGAUGGAACUGCCCCCUGUCAGUGCCCUGGAGGUGAAGCAAAGAUGGCAGGAAAUAAAACGCACUGACAAGUGGCCGAAGAUGCUUGGAGACUGGACAAAAUAUGGGAGCAGCAAGAAGGUAACAUGGGGAGGGAGUGGCCCCCGUGACUGCUCUCUGCAUAGCCAGGAGAGAGGCACCCAUGGCUGUGACCUGGCACCGUCUGCCUCUGCAUCAGUGGGUGGGUGGCAUCCCAUCCUCACCAUAGGACAGCAGGCCUGUUCACCAGCUUUCCUCCCUGAGUCGCCCCGUGUCCUGUCUCACUGGAGUGUUCUUUUGUCUUUAGCUGUGUACAAAGACAUUGUGUACAAAGGCAUUCCCCUGGUGGUGCGGGGCUGGGCGUGGUCACUCCUGCUAGACAUUGACAAAGUGAAGGCUGAGAACCGAGGGGAAGACAAGCCCUGCCCUACGGGUCAUGAAGGAGAAGGGAAAGAGGUCAUCCAGGAUCACCCACCACAUCAAGGCAGAUGUCAGCCACACCCUGCAGAACCACGUGAUGUUUAGAGAAUGAUUUGGAGUCAGGUAAGGCCUAUGGGGGCUGCAGGGGUACCAGGGAACAUGGGGGCGAUCCAGAGCGAUGAGGGCUUCCCCAGGGCAGAGGCCACGGUCACUCAGGAAAAGUGACAGAGCUGCCAAGGGCUCUCCUGGCCCAGGCAGCAGCCAGCAUUAUGGACUGAGCACCUCCCGGGCUCUAAGCCCUGGGCCGGGCUGGGACAUGUGGGGACAGAACCCAGGUGGCUCCCAAGGAGACGGGAGGCAGCAAAAAAAAAAAAAAAAUCAUGCAGAUGGUGAAAAGUGUUCUCCACGCCCCACAAUGAGCCAGGGUAGAGACCCACGGGAAGGCGGCAGGAUGGCGGGGCUCGGGAGCCUUCCCGGGAAACACUGACAGCCCAAAAUACCAGGGAGGAUGCGGGGCCCUGGAAACGCUCAUCCAUGAUGGGUGGGCACACGACAGGGCACUUUGGAAGUCAGAUGGGCCGUGGCUCACAAAGCUCAGUGGCCUUGUACCACACAUCCCCAAAGUGUCACAGAUAUUGACCACAAUGGUUUGAAAACUGACGUGCAAAUAAAACCCACAUGCCACAUUCACUGCUUGAUUGAUUGUCACUCACACCCGGAGGCCACUGAGAUGAUCUUCAACAGGGGUACUGGGGAGAAAGGGGGUUCCACUCUUCAGAUAGAGAUGACUCGGUGAGGAAAAGGAAUGAACCCCUGAUGCCCGCAGGAAUAUGGGUGGUCUUAGAUGUGUGUUGCUGAGGGAAAGAAGCCAGACUCAACAGGCUACCACCACAGGAUUCCAAUUCAUUGGCCAUUCUGGGAAAGGGCAAAGCAUAGAGACAGAGAAUAAUUGGUCAGGAUGGUCAGGCGCUGAUGGAGCCAGGAGAGGUCAGCUGCAAAGGGGACAUGCUGGGGACUUGGAGGAUGAAGGAGCCGCUCUGGGAGGGGCUGCAGUGGUGGACGGAAGGGUCUGCACAUUGGUUCAGAACCGUGGAACUGCACGUCCCAAAGACUGGACUUCCGUGUGUGCAAACCAAGAAAAGGGGGAAGAAAAAAUCAACCAGAGUGAAAAUAAUCACGGAUCCAAAAUGUACACCUGUGAUAUUUGCAUUGCAAAGAAUGUGGAUUUUACUGAAAAAACUUCUAAAAACUCAGGUGUCCUGAAGAGCUCACUGCUUAUCUGGGGGAAUCAUCUGAACCCAGAAUUGUGUUUGUUGUCAGGGUUUGUAGACAAAAUGAAACUGACAGCAUCCACACAAAACAAAACCCUCUUUUCCCUCUUUUCUAGGCAGCAGGAAUUAUGUGACAUCCUCGUGGCCUAUUCUGCAUAUAACCCUGUGAAUAUUCCUGGGCAGCGAUAUUCCUGGGCCAUGUGCCCAUAUUCACAGGCAUGGGUGUCUCUUGGGGGUGUCAGCACUUCUUGAAAAUUCAGUGUUCGUGACCCACCAGCUCGUAGUAGGCAGGACUCAAGCUUACUGCUGGCGUGGACACCCAAGCAAGGGGGCAGCACAAGGGGUCAAACUGAGACGGAAAAGGGUUGAAGCCCAGACUCUUGGUGUCAUCUUGACCCGAUCCCCACGUCUCAGAUGAAGAAAUGACCUUCCCCUCCUGGUGUUGCCCCGAAGCCCAGGAGCUUGGCAGGGUCGCAUGCAGAUGGUCCUCACAGGAGACAGAUUUGACAAGUUGCUGAGGUGCCUGAUGGGCCAGGCUCUUGUCAUGAAAUGAGUUUGCAUCCUGAGGAAACCUCUUCUUCACCAGAAACCAGGCAGAGAUCCAAUUUUCCCUUUCCCUGAACCCCACAGGAGUACAGCAGACAAGGAGGGGGUCAUCCAGCUGGCUGCUCCUGCUCCACCCCCACUUUCCAGACCAUUCUAGGCAGGGAGAGUGGCUGAGCCAACUCCAUGGGCUGCCCACAUGGAGUCGGGACCCAGCUGCCCUCCUGUGCCUGGCAGGCAGUCCUUGGGCUGUUGCAGGACCUUUUGUGUGGUGGUCAGCGCCCCGCUGCCUGCCCUCGUGGCAGGUGAGUUCACAGGUGCUGCUCCGGGCCUGGCACAGUGGCCUCCCCAGCCUGGCCCAGGGUAGGGAGCAUGAACAAUCCCUGACUGUGCCCUUUCAGGCCAUGUGAGCUUGGACGCUCGCUGCAGGAGUACCCCCAGGCUCCUUGUCAACUGAGUCGUGCAUGACCUGUUGAGUCCUCAUGCCCAGUGCCAGGGGAGGAAUGCAGAGGCUGCACCCCAAAUCCCGGGGGCCUGUGGCAGGUGUCCCUGAGGACCUCUGCCAUUUCUGGUGACAUGAGUCCUCCCAGGUGAUCUCAGCCCUCCCAGGAGACACCCUUCCACGGUGACUCU